AUUGAACGCUGGCGGCAGGCCUAACACAUGCAAGUCGAGCGGAUGAAGGGUGCUUGCUCCUGGAUUCAGCGGCGGACGGGUGAGUAAUGCCUAGGAAUCUGCCUGGUAGUUGGGGAUAACGUCCGGAAACGGGCGCUAAUACCGCAUACGUCCUGAGGGAGAAAGUGGGGGAUCUUCGGACCUCACGCUAUCAGAUGAGCCUAGGUCGGAUUAGCUAGUUGGUGGGGUAAAGGCCUACCAAGGCGACGAUCCGUAACUGGUCUGAGAGGAUGAUCAGUCACACUGGAACUGAGACACGGUCCAGACUCCUACGGGAGGCAGCAGUGGGGAAUAUUGGACAAUGGGCGAAAGCCUGAUCCAGCCAUGCCGCGUGUGUGAAGAAGGUCUUCGGAUUGUAAAGCACUUUAAGUUGGGAGGAAGGGCAGUAAGUUAAUACCUUGCUGUUUUGACGUUACCAACAGAAUAAGCACCGGCUAACUUCGUG
rnacentral:rRNA from 1 species